GACAGAGGGUGCAAACGUUGUUCGGAAUUACUGGGCGUAAAGCGUGUGUAGGCGGCUAGGUAAGUCGGAUGUGAAAGCCCCGGGCUCAACUCGGGAAGUGCACUCGAUACUGCUUAGCUCGAGUACCGGAGAGGUUGGUGGAAUUCUCGGUGUAGAGGUGAAAUUCGUAGAUAUCGAGAGGAACACGUGGUGGCAAGGCGGCCAACUGGACGAGUACUGACGCUGAGACACGAAAGCGUGGGGAGCAAACAGG
rnacentral:rRNA from 1 species